GCUCACAGGUAAGGUUAUAACAUAUCACUAAGCCUGGUACUUAAUGAUGUGACUCUCUGAUCCUGUUUGUGCCCUGCCCUCAAGAAGCAUUGUGACAUCACUGGGCUAAGCAACAAGGUUACUGGGAUCUCAAUGUAGAUGUUAUGUCCAGACAGAGGCUGCUGUGAGCUGAAUCGUCUGCUUCCCAAAAUUCCUAUGUUGACACCUUAACCCCCAGCACCUAAGAAUGUGACUAUAUUUGGAGAUAGCAUCAUCACAGAGUCUCAGGGAUGUCUUUAUCAGCAGUAUGAAAAUGAACCAAUUCAUCCCACUUCACUGUUUGAAGAAAAACUGCUGGCUCUAUGGGGUCUUCAAUUUACUGAAUGAUUCCUAGAUGCCUGGCCCUAAUUCACUCAAGAGUCAAGAAAGGUGCCACCUUAUGGUGCUCACUGGGCGGUUGUGGAUGUCUAACCUCAGUGCUAGUCACACAGAACCUGAAGCCAGGCUGGCUGCUCCUGUAAAUGGCAUGGAAUCCCAGGGAAUAUCCUGCAUUCUCAGUGUCCAGCUGUCUGAUGCCACAGUUGUUUAUGAUGAUCGAGGACAACUACGUUUUUCUGAGGAGACUUACCACCUCAUGGCUGAGGCAUUCACAAAAAAUAGCUCACGUUAUGUUUUGCUUAUUUGCA
rnacentral:lncRNA from 1 species